rnacentral:rRNA from 1 species
AAUCCUGGCUCAGGAUGAACGCUAGCGACAGGCUUAACACAUGCAAGUCGAGGGGCAGCGGGGAGUAGCAAUACUUCGCCGGCGACCGGCGCACGGGUGAGUAACACGUGUGCAACCAACCCCGUACCGGGAGAUAACCCGCGGAAACGUGGACUAACAUCCCAUAACACUGGAGGAUCGCAUGAUCUUUCAUUUAAAAUUCCGGUGGUACGGGACGGGCACGCGCGACAUUAGGUAGUUGGCGGGGUAACGGCCCACCAAGCCGACG